CCAAUAGCGUAUAUUAAAGUUGUUGCAGUUAAAAAGCUCGUAGUUGAAUUUCGGGAUUGACACAUCGGUCGUGCCUUAAGGGGUAUGAACUGGUGUAGUCAAUUUCUCACCUUCUGGAGAACCGCGAUGCCCUUAAUUGGGUGUCACGGGGAACCAGGACCUUUACUUUGAAAAAAUUAGAGUGUUUAAAGCAGGCAUUUUGCUUGAAUACAUUAGCAUGGAAUAAUAAAAUAGGACGGCAUGAUUCUAUUUUGUUGGUUUCUAGGAUCACCGUAAUGAUUAAUAGGGAUAGUUGGGGGCAUUAGUAUUCAAUUGUCAGAGGUGAAAUUCUUGGAUUUAUUGAAGACUAACUACUGCGAAAGCAUUUGCCAAGGAUGUUUUCAUUAAUCAAGAACGAAAGUUAGGGGAUCGAAGACGAUCAGAUACCGUCGUAGUCUUAACCAUAAACUAUGCCGACUAGGAAUCAGACGAUGUUAAUUUUUUAAUGACCCGUUUGGCACCUUAC
rnacentral:rRNA from 1 species